rfam:Picea glauca, whole genome shotgun sequence.
UCAUAUAUGCUUACAACGUUAAUGCAUCGGAUCUCGCUAGAACUCCGUAGUUAAGUGUGUUUGGGCUAGAGUAGCACUGGGAUGGGUGGCCUCCCGAGAAGUCCUAGUGUUUUACAUGCC